rnacentral:lncRNA from 1 species
GUUCCUUAUUGCCGCUUCCACACCCUUGGCAUGAAACUGAUCGAUACAAUACAAACUAAAACGUUGGUGUGAUGUAAGUAAGGAAGCCUACUUUCUGUUUUAUAAGGCUGGAUGUUAUGUUUUUAUCAAGGCCUGAAAUGUGUGGUGUGCUCGCUGAACUCAAACAUGGAUCGAAUUCUCCUGUCAUGUGGAUUCUGGAUUGUUCCAAAGGUGGGAGUUUAGGGAGUAGAGAGAGAGGGGAGACAGAGUUUGGCCCUAACCGAGACCUUUUCCAGAAAUGAAUUCAGCUGAAGGGCCUGAUGACCUUUUACAAUAGAGCGAGCCAUGAGACAUUAAAACCAGGCAUCUGGUGGAAAGGGUACCGUUUUCGCGCAUCCUGGGUUCUUGUGAUUACGCCAAUAUACUGCAUAUUACAACAACACCAGUAAGUGACAUUUCUGGUUGGAUGUGAUGCCAUAUCACAAAACGUGGCAAAUUGAACCAAAUAAUGUAGAGACAAGGGGUACUUUUCAAUUUCAUACGAAAUUGAACAUUUUCUCUAUGCUUUAGUGCAAAAACCCCUUUUGUUUAUUCUUGGUUGUGGAGUGUUGUAGCUUUUCUAACUCUCAAAGACGGUCCACCUUGUACAGAUGAGGGAAAGUCUCUGGCACAGAUAAGUAGAAUUGUUCCAAAUACUGUUUAAUUGAUUUCACAUUUUGGUAUUUUCUGUUUACCACCAGGGAUUUAAUCAUUUGAAGGGGGUGGGUGGAUAAAACAUAAUCAUUAUUGCACAUUUAAGACAGCAGAGACACAUUAUGUUUCUUAUCUAGUAUCCAAGCAUAUUUACCAUAUUAGCCACUCAACAGAACAUAAGGAACUUGUUUAACCCAAAGGGUAAGGUAUUGGGAGGUUCGCAUAGGCAUUGUUUUUUUUUUGUCAAGCCAGAUAUAAAUCGCCAAUAUUUCAUUACAUUAUAAAAGAUGUUUUGCCAAUGAUCGAUUUUAUUUGGAGAGCUCUUUAAAGUGUGAAAUGGACUUCAGUAAUUUUUCCAGUGACUGCCUUUUCCCAUUGUAAUUCACCUGUGAGUGAUUUGCCCAUGAGCAAAGAUGGCAGCAAGCAGGUUGUGUACUUCCGGUGGGUCGAGAGUAGCUGUCAUCAAGAUGAAUGGGAAUGGUAAUAGAAGGCAUUCUCCAGGGAUAAUAAACCUCCUUGGUUUAACCCUGUUCCUAUUAUCAACUCCCCACUUUUAA